rnacentral:lncRNA from 1 species
AAGCGCUCUUUGAGAGUUGUUUGCUUACUGGUGGAGGUGAUGUACCGUACUUGAGUAUCCAUGACAACACUGCGACACACCAGAGAGAACUCCAUCACUUUUAUAUUCUGCUGGAGGGUGCCUCUUCUGUGGAAUUGGCAGGAUUGAAAAUGCUUUCUUCCUACUGCCACAACUUACAUCACAGUUCAUGUAAGCACUUGGGUGUGCUCGCUCUUUUGAAUGUCCAGUUCUCCACUACCUCUUAAGGCUUUGGUGCUGGGACUCCAUGAAAUUCAUCUUCAGAUCAACAAUCAAUAGCACAAUAAUUGGAACUUCAAAAUGCAUUAAAUGAAUGAGUAUUAACCCAA